rnacentral:rRNA from 1 species
UACGAAGGGGGCUAGCGUUGCUCGGAAUCACUGGGCGUAAAGCGCACGUAGGCGGACUCUUAAGUCGGUGGUGAAAUCCUGGAGCUCAACUCCAGAACUGCCUUCGAUACUGAGAGUCUCGAGUCCGAGAGAGGUGAGUGGAACUGCGAGUGUAGAGGUGAAAUUCGUAGAUAUUCGCAAGAACACCAGUGGCGAAGGCGGCUCACCGGCUCGGUACUGACGCUGAGGUGCGAAAGCGUGGGGAGCAAACAGG